ensembl:snRNA U2 U2 spliceosomal RNA
AUCACUUCUUGGCCUUUUGGCUGAGAUCAAGUGUAGUAUCUGUUCUCAUCAGUUUCAGAUACCAAGAAGAUUCUGCUCCCACAGUCUCCAUGUUCAUUAAGUCCCCACCAUCCCCU